UACGGAGGGAGCUAGCGUUAUUCGGAAUUACUGGGCGUAAAGCGCACGUAGGCGGCUUUGUAAGUAAGAGGUGAAAGCCCAGAGCUCAACUCCGGAAUUGCCUUUUAGACUGCAUCGCUUGAAUCAUGGAGAGGUCAGUGGAAUUCCGAGUGUAGAGGUGAAAUUCGUAGAUAUUCGGAAGAACACCAGUGGCGAAGGCGGCUGACUGGACAUGUAUUGACGCUGAGGUGCGAAAGCGUGGGGAGCAAACAGG
rnacentral:rRNA from 1 species